rnacentral:misc_RNA from 1 species
UAUUCACCCUAUAGAUUUGAAUCGAUGGGAUGGAAAAUUGAACUGAAUAGUAAGAUUCGAAUUGAGAAUCGUACGAUUCUAACAACAGUGUUGCUGACCCACUAGAUUUCUUCUAUAUCUGUUAACUUUUUUCUGUUUUGGAACAAUAACUAGUGUAGUUAAUAUACAUACAUGAUGUAAAAUCUGAAUUCAUCUUUUGGCAUAUGAAUGGUAAAAAGAGAAAUAGAACAGAAAAUUGUUCUAAUUUUAAGUGAUGGUUAAUCUAUUGCUUUGGAAUCCUCAACCGGCCUACCUUGAGCUGGAAAAAGAGUUCUGGACCCAGAAAACUGAACAGCUCUUUGAAGUAAAUGAUUGAUGCAAUUUUUGAAGUAGAUGAUGGUGAUCAAAGGCCUUCUGUUUGUGAGUCCUGUGUUUCACCAACAGGAAAACAGUGGUGGUUCUUUUGUUGUGUGGAAAAAGGGAAGGCAUCACUUGAAUUAUCUCUAUGUGGGUUUAUUGCAUGUGUAGUCAUUUACAUAUUUUUGUUUUAACGUAAUAUAUAUAUAUACAAUCAAUUGGGUAUAUUUGUAUAUUCCAUUUAAUAUCUUUCUGUACUUAUUUUGAGGAGGUUGAAGGACAAUGAAAGGGAAACUGGCUUUAGUUGUUACUCUAGGCUCCAAGAGCAGAGUUUUAUUCUUGAUUCUAUUGGUCUGCUUUGAAGUUUGCUAACUGAUGUCUCAUACUGUAUUUGCUUAUGAUGUUUCUAUGAACUCUCUUUGUGAAUAUUUAUUCCAAGUUAACAUUUACUCUUUUUCAAGUAAUAUCUUGUUUGGUUCACAAUGCAGGAAACGCCUUUUCAACAUGAU